CCAAUAGCGUAUAUUAAAGUUGUUGCAGUUAAAAAGCUCGUAGUUGAAUUUCGGGAUCAAAGGAUCGGUCAUGCCUUGGUAUGUACUGGUUUUAUUGGUUCUCACCUUCUAAAGAACCAUAAUGUCAUUCAUUUGAUGUUAUGGGGAAUUAGGACUGUUACCUUGAAAAAAUUAGAGUGUUUAAAGCAGGCUUACGCUUGAAUACAUUAGCAUGGAAUAAUGAAAUAGGACGUUCGAUCCUAUUUUGUUGGUUUCUAGGAUUGACGUAAUGAUUAAUAGGGAUAGUUGGGGGCAUUAGUAUUCAAUUGUCAGAGGUGAAAUUCUUGGAUUUAUUGAAGACUAACUACUGCGAAAGCAUUUGCCAAGGAUGUUUUCAUUAAUCAAGAACGAAAGUUAGGGGAUCGAAGACGAUCAGAUACCGUCGUAGUCUUAACCAUAAACUAUGCCGACUAGGGAUCGGAUGAUGUUAAUUUUUUAAUGACUCAUUCGGCGCCUUACG
rnacentral:rRNA from 1 species